rnacentral:rRNA from 1 species
UACAGAGGUCUCGAGCGUUAGGCGGAAUCACUGGGCUUAAAGCGUGUGUAGGUGGAUGCCUAAGUACCUUGUGAAAUCCCACAGCUUAACUGUAGAACUGCUUGGUAUACUGGGUGUCUUGAGUCACUCAGGGGCGAGCGGAACAAAUGGUGGAGCGGUGAAAUGCGUAGAUAUCAUUUGGAACGCCAAUGGUGAAAACAGCUCGCUGGGGGUGCACUGACACUGAGACACGAAAGCCAGGGGAGCGAACGGG